rnacentral:lncRNA from 1 species
AGUUCUAUGAUCCUCUCUACCAUUGUUUCACUUUCCCAAAUUUUCAGCUUGUGCCUACCUUGGAGGAGUAUUCUCAUCUUUUGGGGAUACCUGUUUCUAUGACUCUUGAGUGUAUUGGUGCAGUUCUAUGAUCCUCUCUACCAUUGUUUCACUUUCCCAAAUUUUCAGCUUGUGCCUACCUUGGAGGAGUAUUCUCAUCUUUUGGGGAUACCUGUUUCUAGUAGAG